rnacentral:rRNA from 1 species
CCUACGGGUGGCAGCAGUGAGGAAUAUUGGUCAAUGGACGAGAGUCUGAACCAGCCAAGUAGCGUGAAGGAUGACUGCCCUAUGGGUUGUAAACUUCUUUUAUAUGGGAAUAAAAUGUUCCACGUGUGGGAUUUUGUAUGUACCAUAUGAAUAAGGAUCGGCUAACUCCGUGCCAGCAGCCGCGGUAAUACGGAGGAUCCGAGCGUUAUCCGGAUUUAUUGGGUGUAAAGGGAGCGUAGGUGGAUUGUUAAGUCAGUUGUGAAAGUUUGCGGCUUAACCGUAAAAUUGCAGUUGAAACUGGCAGUCUUGAGUACAGUAGAGGUAGGAGGAAUUCGUGGUGUAGCGGUGAAAUGCUUAGAGAUCACGAAGAACUCUGAUUGCGAAGGCAGUUCACUGGACUGCAACUGACACUGAGGCUCGAAAGUGUGGGUAUCAAACAGGAUUAGAUACCCCAGUAGUC